UACGGAGGGGGCUAGCGUUGUUCGGAAUUACUGGGCGUAAAGCGCACGUAGGCGGCUUUGUAAGUUAGAGGUGAAAGCCCGGGGCUCAACUCCGGAAUUGCCUUUAAAACUGCAUCGCUAGAAUUGUGGAGAGGUAAGUGGAAUUCCGAGUGUAGAGGUGAAAUUCGUAGAUAUUCGGAAGAACACCAGUGGCGAAGGCGACUUACUGGACACAUAUUGACGCUGAGGUGCGAAAGCGUGGGGAGCAAACAGGG
rnacentral:rRNA from 1 species